GCCAGACAUGGUGGUGCAUGCCUGUAAUCCCAGCAAUUUGGGAGGCUGAGGCAGGAAAAUUGCCAGUCCAAGUCCAGCCUCAG
rnacentral:sRNA from 1 species